rnacentral:rRNA from 1 species
AUUGAACGCUGGCGGCAGGCCUAACACAUGCAAGUCGAACGAGCGGCGGACGGGUGAGUAAUGUCUGGGAAACUGCCCGCUGGCGGGGGAUAACUACUGGAAACGGUAGCUAAUACCGCAUACCAUCGGAUGUGCCCAUAUGGGAUUAGCUAGUAGGUGGGGGAACGGCUCACCUAGGCGACGAUCCCUCGCUGGGCUGCGAGGAUGACCAGCCACACUGGAACUGAGACACGGUCCAGACUCCUACGUGAGGCAGCAGUGGGGAAUAUUGCACAAUGGGCGCAAGCCUGAUGCAGCCAUGCCGCGUGUAUGAAGAAGGCCUUCGGGUUGUAAAGUACUUUCAGCGAGGAGGCGUUACUCGCAGAAGAAGCACCGGCUAACUCCGUGCCAGCCGCCGCGGUAAUUC